rnacentral:rRNA from 1 species
GCGAAGUGCGGGCAAGGGGGCGCGGUAAUAGGUAGGGUGCAAGGGUUAAUCGGAAUGACUGGGCGUUAAGCUGGCGCAGGCGUGUUCGUAAGUCUGUCGGGAAAUCCCCGGGCUUAACCUGGGAAUGGCGAUGGAGACUGCGAGGCUAGAGGUUGGCAGAGGGGGGUAGAAUUCCACGUGUAGCAGUGAAAUGCGUAGAGAUGUGGAGGAACACCGAUGGCGAAGGCAGCCCCCUGGGUCAAAACUGACGCUCAUGCACGAAAGCGUGGGGAGCAAACAGGAUUAGAUACCCCAGUAGUC